rnacentral:rRNA from 2 species
CGAACGAACUCUGGUAUUGAUUGGUGCUUGCAUCAUGAUUUACAUUUGAGUGAGUGGCGAACUGGUGAGUAACACGUGGGAAACCUGCCCAGAAGCGGGGGAUAACACCUGGAAACAGAUGCUAAUACCGCAUAACAACUUGGACCGCAUGGUCCGAGUUUGAAAGAUGGCUUCGGCUAUCACUUUUGGAUGGUCCCGCGGCGUAUUAGCUAGAUGGUGGGGUAACGGCUCACCAUGGCAAUGAUACGUAGCCGACCUGAGAGGGUAAUCGGCCACAUUGGGACUGAGACACGGCCCAAACUCCUACGGGAGGCAGCAGUAGGGAAUCUUCCACAAUGGACGAAAGUCUGAUGGAGCAACGCCGCGUGAGUGAAGAAGGGUUUCGGCUCGUAAAACUCUGUUGUUAAAGAAAGAACAUAUCUGAGAGUAACUGUUCAGGUAUUGACGGUAUUUAACCAGAAAGCCACGGCUAACUACGUGCCAGCAGCCGCGGUAAUACGUAGGUGGCAAGCGUUGUCCGGAUUUAUUGGGCGUAAAGCGAGCGCAGGCGGUUUUUUAAGUCUGAUGUGAAAGCCUUCGGCUCAACCGAAGAAGUGCAUCGGAAACUGGGAAACUUGAGUGCAGAAGAGGACAGUGGAACUCCAUGUGUAGCGGUGAAAUGCGUAGAUAUAUGGAAGAACACCAGUGGCGAAGGCGGCUGUCUGGUCUGUAACUGACGCUGAGGCUCGAAAGUAUGGGUAGCAAACAGGAUUAGAUACCCUGGGUAGUCCAUACCGUAAACGAUGAAUGCUAAGUGUUGGAGGGUUUCCGCCCUUCAGUGCUGCAGCUAACGCAUUAAGCAUUCCGCCUGGGGAGUACGGCCGCAAGGCUGAAACUCAAAGGAAUUGACGGGGGCCCGCACAAGCGGUGGAGCAUGUGGUUUAAUUCGAAGCUACGCGAAGAACCUUACCAGGUCUUGACAUACUAUGCAAAUCUAAGAGAUUAGACGUUCCCUUCGGGGACAUGGAUACAGGUGGUGCAUGGUUGUCGUCAGCUCGUGUCGUGAGAUGUUGGGUUAAGUCCCGCAACGAGCGCAACCCUUAUUAUCAGUUGCCAGCAUUAAGUUGGGCACUCUGGUGAGACUGCCGGUGACAAACCGGAGGAAGGUGGGGAUGACGUCAAAUCAUCAUGCCCCUUAUGACCUGGGCUACACACGUGCUACAAUGGAUGGUACAACGAGUUGCGAACUCGCGAGAGUAAGCUAAUCUCUUAAAGCCAUUCUCAGUUCGGAUUGUAGGCUGCAACUCGCCUACAUGAAGUCGGAAUCGCUAGUAAUCGCGGAUCAGCAUGCCGCGGUGAAUACGUUCCCGGGCCUUGUACACACCGCCCGUCACACCAUGAGAGUUUGUAACACCCAAAGUCGGUGGGGUAACCUUUUAGGAACCAGCCGCCUAAGGUGGGACAGAUGAUUAG